AACACAUGCAAGUCGAGGGGCAGCAUAGAGUAGCAAUACUUGGUGGCGACCGGCGCACGGGUGAGUAACGCGUAUGCAACCUACCUAUCAGAGGGGAAUAACCCGGCGAAAGUCGGACUAAUACCGCAUAAAACAGGGGCACCGCAUGGUGAUAUUUGUUAAAGAAAUUCGCUGAUAGAUGGGCAUGCGUUCCAUUAGGUAGUUGGUGAGGUAACGGCUCACCAAGCCGACGAUGGAUAGGGGAACUGAGAGGUUGGUCCCCCACACUGGUACUGAGACACGGACCAGACUCCUACGGGAGGCAGCAGUGAGGAAUAUUGGUCAAUGGGCGGGAGCCUGAACCAGCCAAGUCGCCGUGAAGAAAGAAGGAUCUAUGGUUCGUAAACUUCUUUUGCAGGGGAAUAAAGUGCAGGACGUGUCCUGUUUUGUAUGUACCCUGAGAAUAAGGAUCGGCUAACUCCGUGCCAGCCGCCGC
rnacentral:rRNA from 1 species